GACGAACGCUGGCGGCGUGCCUAAUACAUGCAAGUCGAGCGAGCGGAACCAACAGAUUUACUUCGGUAAUGACGUUGGGAAAGCGAGCGGCGGAUGGGUGAGUAACACGUGGGGAACCUGCCCCUAAGUCUGGGAUACCAUUUGGAAACAGGUGCUAAUACCGGAUAAUAAAGCAGAUCGCAUGAUCAGCUUUUGAAAGGCGGCGUAAGCUGUCGCUAAGGGAUGGCCCCGCGGUGCAUUAGCUAGUUGGUGGGGUAACGGCCUACCAAGGCGACGAUGCAUAGCCGACCUGAGAGGGCGAACGGCCACAUUGGGACUGAGACACGGCCCAA
rnacentral:rRNA from 1 species